AACGAACGCUGGCGGCGUGGAUAAGACAUGCAAGUCGAACGGGACAACAUCUGUAGCAAUACAGGUGUUGUUUAGUGGCGAACGGGUGCGUAACACGUGGGCAAUCUGCCGAGAAGUGGGGGAGUAGCUCGCCGAAAGGACGAAUUAAUACCGCAUAUGAUCAGUGAAGACAUCUUCACGACAUCAAAGACCGGGGCGAACCUGGCGCUUCUUGAUGAGCCCGCGGCCUAUCAGCUAGUUGGUGAGGUAACGGCUCACCAAGGCUAUGACGGGUAGCUGGUCUGAGAGGACGACCAGUCACACUGGAACUGAGACACGGUCCAGACACCUACGGGUGGCAGCAGUCGAGAAUUUUUCUCAA
rnacentral:rRNA from 1 species